rnacentral:lncRNA from 1 species
UCCGUAGUUUUGACGUAUGGAGUGAGGAAAUAUGACAUAUUUUAAUGGGUCUAACGGUUUUCUCUUCAAGAAAAUUUAGCCUAAAUUUUGGCCUCCUUUGACCUUUCAAAAGAUUCUCUUACCUUGCCUCCUCCUCCGUGAAUGAAGGGAAAUCCUUGCCCCCCAAGGAACCCAUUGCCUCGGGAGCCAACUGCCCCAACCCCAGUUCUAUAAAUAUAUCAUCUCUCCAGGCUCCUCACCAUCACUCUUCUCAUCGCUGCCACGGAGACGAUCUCCUCCUCCACCUCCUCCUAAUCUUCUGAAAGAUUUGCGCUGCUUUCCAUUUGUAACUCUGUCGGUGAUGGAGCGUCAGGUGUCCGAUCUUCCAAAGAAGGGGAGGCCGCUGCCGAAGCGAGGCCAGAUCAAAGCGAGGAUAUUUGGAACCUUGGUGCGAGCGGUCAUCCCUAAAGGCUCGAAGAAAGGGGACAAGUCCCGGGAAGAAGGGUUCUCCCCGUCGACUCCAUCGCCGAGCGGCUACACCUCAGAAGCCGGCUCUGAGUGUUGAUCAGUAUAUAACUCGGCAAGGAGCGUCCCGAAUCCGGCCAAUACUCGGCAUAGCCCUUGUAAAGAACUUGAGGUGCCUCAGAAGUCGUCUUCUUUUUUUUUAAUUUCUUCUCACUGUGUUGAUCACUUGGAAAGUUAUUCCUUGAGCUCGGCUUGCUAGUUUCAGAUAAGGAAUUUAUAGUCGUUUGCUUUCGUAUGUAACUCUAGUGGUCUCUGCCUGCCCCUUUUGUUCACUUCUCCUUGAAGAACAGAUGUGGAGCAGGGUAUUGCUGUAUGGGUAGAAAUCCUUUCCCUCCCUAGAAGUCUUGUAAAUUUUUUGGUGUAAAUAAGAUUUUGACUGAGAUUAUCUGAGCAAUAUUAGAUGAUAAUUUGUUGCUGUUUCAGUUGUUGCUAAAAUAUAUUGGAUGACAAUCCCAUCUCAAUUCCAUUGGAUAUAUUGAAUGGUACAAAAGAGACCAUGGAAAAUUAAAAUUGCAGUUAUCAAUGAAAUGUGAGGCAGCUUGCCACCGUUUUGCUCAGAAAAUAAAAAUUGCACUUUCCACACAGAUUGGUGCCAAAAAGGAGCAUAGACUUGUGAAGAUUAAGGUUUAUAUAUUGUGCACUUGGAAUUGGAAUGGAUGGGUCCUGUGUUUGGACGGUCUACAGGGAGGGAACCAUGCAUGGGUUCUCCAUCAGUCAUCUAUGUUGUCUUUGUGAAACAAUUUC